AAGAAUAAGAUUUUGAGAAAAUAAUACUGGCACUCACAUUGCACACAAUGAUGGCUGAGCGUGCUGAGCUAGCGUACCACACAUGAAUUACAAUGACAUCCAAAUCUGAAGCAUCUACAUGUUGGGUGCCAAAUGACAAGCAUAUUUACAUAACUCAAGAUUCUACAGGGAGAUCUCGAGCACAUACUAAAAACCAUUCAACAAAUUACAAAUUCGAGCCAAUCAGGGUUAAGAUCUACAAAAACGUAGUAAAAGCUGAAACAAGAUCAAUCUUGUCUAGCUUUUGAACCGAGCUCACCCAACAUAUCUCAUAUAUCCUAGCUAGCAUAUAGCCACUUGGUCUUGUAUAUCUUAUUUUCAAUACUUAAGCCCUUGAAAUCCAAUAAAACAAGAGACCAGAUCACUCUACUUUCUGUAUCAUCCUGCGCUUUUUGUGUACAAGGAAAUAAGGUGAAGGUGAUGGCCAACAGUGAUUUCACAAUGUUUCAGAAUAGAUGAACAGGAAUCAACCAAAAGAAGAAAGCAUGUGAUCAUCUAUGUGUUAUUAUUGGGGUCAUCUAAGACAUCCUUUUCUGUGUCUGAUCACUUAAUGAUGUUGUUGGUUUUCAAGUCUUGUGUCAAUAACUUGUUGCCAACUUGAGUCAAGUGUCGAACAGGG
rnacentral:lncRNA from 1 species